UCUCCUUAUUUUUUCUCCAACCGACGAACCAUUUGUAUCUUGCUUGGCUCGUUUGGGUUUAUUUUGAACCCAGGGGCUGUCUCUGAAACAGACAGAAAAGAAUUGAAAGCCAUUUGAUUGGGGGAAAUACAUGUGAGAGGGUGUUUCGGUGCUGGGGAGUUCAGUUUCCUUUGCUGCCUUCCUUCAGUACCAGGCAGGCAGAGCAGAGUGCUGUAUAAAUAGCCAAGCCUGUAUGUAACAUCCAGUUUGAAGGAUCCAAGCAUCCUAGAAGGAAGCACACGGAAAGAAAACCGUCCAGCCGCUUUGCAAACUGAGAAUGAUGUAUAUUUCAGACUUUGUCUCUUGAGCAAUCCGAGGUGGGGUGGGGUGGGGGGAGCUUGGAUGGAUUACAAUAAUACUUCAGCAAGACUGCUGACAUCUGUAAAGGACUGUCAUCUACAGAGAAGGAUAAGAACAGGAGACAAUGUCAUUAUUUCCACAGAAGCUAAAAAUUGAGGGGCUGAUUUCUUGAGAAGAGAGAGACCUGAAAAUGUUGAUGGCUUAAACUUUUUAAAAAAUUCUUCUGUAUGAUGAACGGUUCAGCUCUGGGGAGGAAGAACUUCUCUGAGCUGAUUGGAAAUGGCAUCGCAGGGCUGAAACUUAACUGGAGGAAAUAUACCUCCCAACGAGGAAAGUACCAUGUACUGUAAGGCUCUGACUUCUGGUGACAAAUGCAAGUCUAGAGAAAACUUGUCCGCUUGGCUGGGAAGGAUGGGUUGGACAAUCCUCAACCAUUCCAAAGGGCGUCUGGAUGCCGUGCUGAGCGUGAUCUCCGCAGCGUGCCUGGUGAUUUUCUCCUGAUGCUCUGCAUGGUUAGCCUGAGGAGAAGGGUAAAGAAACUGGCUACCAAGAUGGUAAUCACUAGUGGAAAUGAAGAAGAAAAAGCUAACCAAGAAAAGGAAAGCAAGGAGGAAAGCAUCCUGGCCAUGCUGGGAAUUAUCGGGACAAUUCUCAACCUCAUUGUGAUCAUUUUUGUGUACAUCUACACAACAUUGUGAACCGCAGAGGCAAAACCCUCAAGACAGCUGACACGAGGUGACAGCAAACUGUUGUGCGUUAUUGACACACGGUUUAACGGGAACAGACGCUUUUGUGUAUUAAGACGUCAUAAAACCGCUGCCUGCGGGCAGUUGAAGGUUGAAGCACAAUUAAUCCAACAAGACUUUUUUCACACAGUUAUGAGAAAAAUUUCCUUGCCCCACCCCCUUCUGCCCUUUCUGUUUUCAUUUGUUCUCGAGAAAGGACUGCAAAUACGUAAGUAUCGGCUUUGGAGAAACCCACUACAGACGUAAUGGUUUACUACAGCCAGAGGAAGACAGGACGCUCUUGUAAACAGUUUCCAAUGUAUAGCAUAUUCAUGCCCAGAUAUGUUCCACAGAUAGCUAAAUAGCUGUCUUUCGUGUCCUUUAGACCACAUCAUCUUCUCUCCUCUUUUUAUUUACAUUGAGGCUGGCAAGCUUUUUUACAAAAAUAAAAUAAAAUGAGGGACAUACAAUUCAGUUGCUUGGGUGGGGGGGAAGCUAUCACUUUCUUGAGCUGCCUGAGAAAACAAAAGAGGAAACCUUCGGCAAAGUCAGUGACAUUUUUCUUUUCUCUCUCAUCCGCCUGAUAUCUGUGUCUCUUCAUACCAAUGUUUAUAAAUAUCUAUUUUUAAUAAAUGUGCUAUAUUUUUUAGCAUGAAACAAA